rnacentral:lncRNA from 1 species
CUUUUGGUUCGUGGUUCAGGGGUUUCAGCAGGCUGAUAACAGGAACAAGGGAGAAAGGGAGUUAUAUUAUUGAAUCUUGUAAUCGUUGUUAUUAUUGAUUAAUAAUAUAAUCUCUUACCAGUUGGUAGGGGACCAGGACGUAGACCAUUAGGGUUAGGGGUCGAACCUGGCUAAAAUUCUUGGUGUUGCUAGCAUACUGCUUUACAUUAUCUGCAUUGCAUUUAUCUUAUUAGCAGGCUAACUGUUUACUCUGAAACUUAACAGCAGGCUGUCAUUGACAGAUUAAUUAUUCGGUAACUUAUAAAAAUCGGGUAUAUUAGCCAUAACACCUAUUCACCCCCCCUCUAGGUGUGUAAUUUCAAUUGGUAUCAGAGCUGUGUUUGUACUAAUACUUCUGUAACAGGAAUAGUAUCGAUCGAUAUGGCUGAUAACUUUCAGGGAAAGUCCGAUUUUAGAGCUCCUCUCCUCACGGGUUCUGACAACUACAAUUGGUGGAAAGGCCAAAUGGAGGCUCAUCUAUCCAGAGAUCCCCUAAUGCAAAGAGUUGUGCAAAGAGGUCCUUAUGAAUAUCUUGAUAAAGAUGGCAAAGUCAAGGACGUUGAUGUUCUCACAGCGGACGAGCUAUCAAAGGUUGCUGCCAAUGGAAAAGCAAGGAGUACAUUGAUCAAUGGGCUGAAUCAAGCUGAAUAUGACAAGGUCUCUUCUCUCAAAACAGCAAAGGAAAUUUGGGAUGCAUUGGAGACGUAUCAUGAAGGCUCACAAGGUCUAAAGAAGGUCAAGCUCGGAAAGCUCAUGAAAGAAUUUGGAAGCUUCGCUAUCAAGAAGGGAGAAUCCAUUCGUGAAAGCCAAGCUAGAUUCCAAGUUACUCUUAACAGCCUUGAAAGACUUGGCAAAAAGAUUCCUCAAUCGGAAAUCAACAUGAAUAUUCUAAAUGCAGCUCCGUUCGAAUAUGGUGCCAAGGUCACUGCAUUGGAGUCAGCUUCUCCUCACGGGUUCUGACAACUACAAUUGGUGGAAAGGCCAAAUGGAGGCUCAUCUAUCCAGAGAUCCCCUAAUGCAAAGAGUUGUGCAAAGAGGUCCUUAUGAAUAUCUUGAUAAAGAUGGCAAAGUCAAGGACGUUGAUGUUCUCACAGCGGACGAGCUAUCAAAGGUUGCUGCCAAUGGAAAAGCAAGGAGUACAUUGAUCAAUGGGCUGAAUCAAGCUGAAUAUGACAAGGUCUCUUCUCUCAAAACAGCAAAGGAAAUUUGGGAUGCAUUGGAAACGUAUCAUGAAGGCUCACAAGGUCUAAAGAAGGUCAAGCUCGGAAAGCUCAUGAAAGAAUUUGGAAGCUUCGCUAUCAAGAAGGGAGAAUCCAUUCGUGAAAGCCAAGCUAGAUUCCAAGUCACUCUUAACAGCCUUGAAAGACUUGGCAAAAAGAUUCCUCAAUCGGAAAUCAACAUGAAUAUUCUAAAUGCAGUUCCAUUCGAAUAUGGUGCCAAGGUCACAGCAUUGGAGUCAGCUCUCAACAUUGAUACUAUGGAUCACCUGGCUAUAUUUGCUGAGUUGGAACAAUUUGAAGCUAAGAUUGAAGCUAACAGCUCAGAAAGCAGCAAGCUGCCAACAGAGAAAAUGAAGAAUCUUGCACUUCACUCUACUGCCAGCAGGCUGGAAUCAGAUGAGGAAACAGAAUCAGAUGAGGAUCUAGCUCUUAUGUCCAGAAAAAUCAAAAGAAUGAUCGAAAAGAAGAAUAAGAUGAAAAGAGAAAAGGGCAAAGCUUUUGGUGCAAAGAAAGAUCCAAAAGAUGAUGCAUGUUUCGAAUGUGGCAAGAAAGGACAUUUCAAAAGGGAUUGCUACAAGCUGAAAAACAAGUCUAAGCCGCCUAAACAGCAAGCUGAUUACAAGAACAAAAAGAAAUCAAAGGCACUUCUCACAUGGAGUGAUGAUGUCAGCUUCGGAUGUUUCAAGUGAUGAGAUGGUCAACUUGGCUCUUGUUGGUCUCGAUGGCUCAAUAGAGACAACUGAUUCAGAUUCAGAGACUAAUAGUGAGGUACAUUCUAUUAAUUCUGAAUUACAUUCUAUUGAUACAACAUCAUGUGAACUAACCAUGCAGGAUAAGAGUUGUUUAUCAAUAAUGGAACUCAUUGAUCUAAAGAAUGAGAAUUAUGAGCUCGAGAAAGAAAAUGUUCAUUUGAAGAAAGUCAUAGGUGAUUUCUUGAAUGAAAAGAGUGCCAAAGCUAGUAGUGGAAUCAUUGCUACCCUCAAGGAACAGAUCUCACAACUUGAAGGGAACAACAUGCAAAUCCAAAGAAGGAAUGAUACACUCAUGAAGGAACUCAGCUCGCUGAGAGCAGAUCUUAAAGCUAAGGAUGCAAGCUUGGAGGCAUUCGAGUUAAGCAAAUCCCAAAGCUUAGCCGAAAUCUCUAUUCAAGCUGAAAAGAUCAAAUCAUUGGAGCAAGAAGUCAAAGAUCUUCAGAAAGCCAUGGGAAAGUUUGUUCAAGGAGAAGAAAGUCUCAAAUCUAUGAUGAAACAAGCUAAAGGUUCUCAUGACAAAGGAGGCAUUGGUGCAGCUUCUACAUCCACAUCAUCAAUGAGAUAUGAAGGGAAAAAUGGCAUUCCAUACAAUUAUGCCAUGCCUUGGGUGACUUGUCACAAGUGUGGAAAGAAGGGCCAUCUUGCUAAUAAUUGUCCAAUGAAGAAUACUCAAUCAGCAAGCUGGAGAAGGAAGUCAGCUCACAGACAGUAUGCUGACAACACAAACAGACAGAAGACAGCUCCUAGACAGUAUGCUGAUAAGACUGGCAGAACAUGGAAGAAGAGUUCUAAAGUGGUCCAAAUGUGGAUCAAGAAAUCUGAUCUAAAUGUUCUAUAUGUUUUAUCAUCUAACACUGCUGGACCCAACAAAAUUUGGGUACCAAAACGUUGAGUUGUUUGUGUUUGUUUUGUAGGUUUGUCUCGUGUCUAAAGUAAAGCCAAAUCAAUGGAUAUUGGAUAGUGGAUGCACUAGGCACAUGAGUGGAGACAAAUCACAGUUUCUAAGCUUGAAGAUGAAGAAGGGUGGCUCACAUUGGAUGAAUCCAGAGGUCAAACUUCAUCAGCAAGCCAAAAUGUUGUUGAUCAGACUCCUCCUAGGCAGACUACAAGGAAUGAAGAGGUCAUAGCUCAACAUAAUCUACCAAAGUCAACUAGAACAGUGAAGAAUCAUCCUCCUCAGUUGAUCAUUGGAGAUAAAUCAGCUGGAAUCAAGACAAGGAAAGCUCAAGCCAAUAUUUGUGCUUAUGCUGCCUUUAUAGCUCAAGAGGAACCAAAGAAUGUUCAAGAAGCUUUACAAGAUGAAAAUUCGAUCAUGGCAAUGCAAGAAGAACUCAAUCAAUUCGAAAGAUGUGAUGUUUGGGAACUUGUAGAUCCACCAGAGGAUGCUUCAAUUGUUGGAACCAAAUGGGUGUUCAAGAAUAAAGUUGAUGAAUUUGGUACUAUCACUCGGAACAAAGCUAGACUUGUUGCACAAGGAUACAAUCAGCAAGAAGGAAUUGAUUUUGAUCAAACAUAUGCUCCGGUUGCAAGAUUGGAAUCUAUUAGGAUGCUAUUAUCAUUUGCAUGCUACAAGAAGUUCAAGCUACAUCAAAUGGAUGUCAAAAGUGCAUUCUUAAAUGGAUAUCUAAAGAAAGAAGUUUAUGUCAAGCAACCACCAGGAUUCGAGGAUGAAAAAUAUCCUAACCGUGUCUACAAGCUCAAGAAGGCACUAUAUGGAUUAAGGCAAGCACCUCGGUCAUGGUAUGAACGGUUAAGUGAAUUUUUGAUUAAAAUGGUUUCAUCAGAGGUAAAAUUGAUCCUACUUUGUUUACUAUCUUUAAAGGUCAAGAUAUAUUAGUUGUUCAAAUAUAUGUAGAUGAUAUUAUAUUUGGAUCUACUAAUGAUUCUUUGUGUAAGUGGUUUUCAAAGUGCAUGCAUAGUGAGUUUGACAUGAGCAUGAUGGGAGAGCUCAAUUAUUUCUUGGGGCUCCAAAUUAAGCAAACUCCAGAAGGAAUUUAUGUGCAUCAAUCCAAGUAUAUCAAGAAUCUACUCAAAAGAUUUGGAUAUGAGAAUAUCAAGGCGAAAUCAACACCGAUGAGCGUUGUCAGCAAGCUGACAGCAGAUGAAAAUGGUAAAGAUGUUGAUAUUCGAAUGUAUAGAGGUAUGAUUGGUAGUUUACUUUAUCUUACAGCCUCUAGACCUGAUAUUAUGUAUAGUGUUUGUGUUUGUGCUAGAUUUCAAGCAAAACCAAAGGAUUCUCACUUACAAGCUGUUAAAAGAAUAUUUAAAUAUUUAAGUGGAACCAUUACUUUGGGCUUAUUCUAUCCUAUCACAAAUGCUUUUGAUCUUGUUGGGUAUAGUGAUGCAGAUUAUGCAGGUAGUCAAACUGAUAGAAAAAGUACAAGUGGUGUUUGUGCAUUUUUGGGUCAAAGCUUAGUUUCUUGGUUAAGCAAGAAGCAAACUUCAGUUGCUCUAUCUACGGCUGAGGGGGAGUAUUUAGCAGCUGGUAGCUGUUGCUCUCAAAUGCUAUGGAUGAGACAACAAUUGAAGGACUUUGGAAUCAAAUGCAAGCAAACUCCUAUCUUUUGUGACAACACAAGUACAAUCAACAUUUCAGAAAAUCCAGUCAAUCAUUCAAGGACAAAGCACAUUGAUGUUCGACAUCAUUUUCUGAGAGACAAUGUUGCAAAGGGUGCUGUCAAGUUGAUAUUUGUGGCUACAGCAGAUCAGCUAGCUGACAUCUUCACAAAACCUCUUCCGGAAGAACGAUAUGUUGUGCUAAGAAGGGAAUUGGGUAUGUGUGAUGUGCAGUCAGCAGGCUCUUAAGCAUGGUCCAGGUACUAUCAGCUUACUCCUAGUAUUUUAUAUAAUUUUUAUUUAUUUUGCAUGCCGGUUAAUUUAAGUGUUUAAUUGAUAUAUGUGUACAUAAAUGAUAUUACCGUUAUGUGCUUAGACUGAUGAAUUUAUGUGUUGAAUUUUUGAUACGUGAUUAUGUGAUUAUCAGUGUAAUUUAUGAUAAGUUUAAAAUUCAAAUUUUAGUUUCAUGGAUAUAUAUAUAUAUAUGUGAUAAGUGAUAAGUGUUGUUAACAAUUUUUAGUUUUUCGGAAUCUAGUAGAUAAACAUGAAUUAUCUUAGAAAUUUUAGUUCGUUUAAUUUUAUUCCUAAAACUACUCCCCUGAUAAUUGUUAAAAGAGUUUUAAAAUCUCUAAUCACUCCACGCCUCUUCAACUACAUAUACAAUCCUCCCCGAGACGCUAGGAUUUUAACCCAUUUUAUCAGAAAAGCUUUCGUAAUCACAAUAGCAACUAUCGGUUUACGGCUCGCAAUGAGGAAGAAGACAAGGGCGAACGUGAAGGCUCACACUCCUCAGCCUUCUUCUAUUUCUCGGAAGCGCAAGCUAAUUGAUGAGGACGAUGACGAGCUCGUGACGGUUGAGAGCGGUGAUGAACUUUCUGGUGUUAAUCGGGAUGAGAUUGGGGUUGAGCCAACUCAGAAAAAGCCUAAAUCGGAGAUGUUGGCUGUUCGUGGACUUGCCGGCCGAAAGGUCAUCUUGGGUAAGCCCCUCUCAGGCAAAACUUUUUACUCUUGCGGUGUUGUUAAGCUGUUUGAAGAUCUAGGUUUUCAGUCGUUUCUGAUUGAUUUGCCUAAGAUAUGUUAUCCUGCUUUAGUGCGUGAGUUUUAUGCGAAUCUUCAACUGGUUGGGUCGGAUCAGUAUGUGUCGUUUGUUUCGGAUGUCAAAAUCUGCUUGUCAUCUAUGUUUUUGGGUGCUAUUUUGAAAAUUCCACCAUCUACUGUGUCGAUUCAUACUAAGAGGGGUCCAAAAAAUAUUGAGGGUUUUUCUCAUCAGGAUCAGUUAAAAUUGAUUACGGGUCUUGAGUCUGUCUCUGAGGGUGUUUUUCCAUCUACUGUUCAAUUACUUCCCCUUGCUCAAGCACUUUUUAAACUAUCUAUUGAGAAUGUCAGCCCUAGGCUUGGUACUAGGUCUAAUCUGUCUUCACAAGAUAUUGUGGUUGUGUCUAUGAUUAUGGCUGGUAGGAAGUUUGAUUUGCCUGAGUUAAUCCUGAAGAAUAUGUUGGACUCUGUUGAGGGUAAGUCCUCUGGUGGUUUACCUUACGGGUUGUUAUUAACAAGGGUUUUUGAGUGGUUUGGAGUUUCUUUUGUUGGUGAGGAUUCGGUGACUGCAAAAGAAUUUCUUGAUAUGAAAUUCUUGGCUCAGUCCAAUUUGAAGCUGGAUCAGGAAGGUCAGUUGGUUGUUGUUGAAGUGUCUCCACCUACACCUUCUGCACAGUCUGUGAACAUUGUGGAUUUGGGAAUCUCUGCUCAAGAGAUUCAUGAAUAUAUGGAUGAGCUUCGAGCAAAUCACAAGGAAGUAAUGGAUGGACAGAAGCAGCUGUCUGAGCAGAUGGGUGAGUUGGUUUCUCAGGUUGGUUUCUGGAAAGACAUGAUGUUUGGGGCUCGAACUUCAACUGCUUCUGAGAAAUGCAGUUCUGGGAGCUUUGCUUACGAACUUUGCAAGCGGAUGUAUGGGUCUGGCGGGUCUUCAGAUGUGAAGGUCACAUUUACUUCAGAGGAUGAUGCCACUGAUAGCCCAAGGCCUAGAACAACUAUGGAUGCACUGAAGGAAGCGGCUGGAACGGAUUCUAAGUAUGCUGCUGCUGGGAAUGCACUGAUGGCUGAAAAUCUUAUUGCUGCGGAGCUUGCCAAGAAGUUUGCGAAGGAAAAGGAUGAUUAGGACAAGGCUAGAACUUGAUUUUCUCAACCUUUUUAAUGAUUAAGGGGGAGGAAAUUAGGAAAAUAAGACUUUUACUUAAGUUUGUGUUAUCUGCUUAAGUACAAUUAUUGGCCCUAAGUUUUUAAGACUAAGUUGUUUUGUGCUGGUUGGAUUUGAAUUUGCUGAUCUCAGGUGGUUUAUCCUGAGUUAACUUGGUUUUUGUUUGGAUAAUAUUGUUGGAUACCAGGUGGUUUAUCCUGGUUAGGAUUAUUUGAAAUAUCUAUGCAAUUUGGUUUGAUUAAUUGUUUCUGUGUUAGUUAAAUUUUGCAUAUCUGUGAAUUAGAUAUUUGCUAGAUUAUAUUCUCUGUGAUAAUUGUGAAAGUUUAGUGAUAUUAGAUUGCUAUAUUUAGGGGGAGUUUAUUACUUUUCCUAAUAUAGUGUAAUCAUCAAAAAGGGGGAGAUUGAUACUCUCAAGGUUUUGAUGAUGACACUAACAGCAAGCUAAUAACAUGAAACUGAUAUGUGUUAGCAUGCUAUCAAAGGUUGUUUAUGCGGACUAACAGUAUUUCAGGAUGUUAGCAUGAUUAUAGCUGUCAGCAAGCUUACAGGAAUAUUUACAAGCUAUCAGCAGGCUUACAGCGUGAACAGAGAAACAAUCGGAUAAAGAUCAAAGUCUAUUUUCAAGGAGAUUUAAUAGGAAACGACUUUGUAAGGAUUCUAAUAUUUGUAUAUAUCUUAUAUAAAUAUUAGAGCUCAGUUUUAUAAAGAGUUUUGUUCAAAAACGUUUUCCUAACAAAUAGGAGAUUUUAUCUCAAAGAAUAUCUUAUCUUUAACAAACUCCUAUUUUGUUUCAAACGGAUUUUAUUUAAAUAUCUUACUGAGAUGUUUUCAAAUGUGUUUUAUCUCUUGCUCAGUAAACAUAUAUCAUCCAAACGUUCAUCAUUCAAUUCAAAUUUAAACGUGAGGUUGUUACCAAGAUCGUUGGGAAAUUUGUUGGAUUAUGACCGUUGGUAUGAUGUAUAUAAAUUUGUGUGUGCUUUCAUUUUCGGUAGAGAACAAGGAGAACACACCAAGCUUUCUGAAAUACAACUCUUUACAUUGAUAAAUCUUUUGUUGAGCUCUAGUGCUCAUAUUCGUUUAUAUACUAAUAUCGAGAGUUCAUAGUUUCGGUUGUAUUACACUUAUUCAUUGUAUUGUUCAAGGUGUAAUGUUUUGUUGCUGUGUAUCCAGCUUGUGAAACAAGGGAACAAGGGAACUAGUUAGCUAGGAGAAUAUACUUGGGAAGUAUAGGUCUUGGUAGGCUUUUGGUUCGUGGUUCAGGGGUUUCAGCAGGCUGAUAACAGGAACAAGGGAGAAAGGGAGUUAUAUUAUUGAAUCUUGUAAUCGUUGUUAUUAUUGAUUAAUAAUAUAAUCUCUUACCAGUUGGUAGGGGACCAGGACGUAGACCAUUAGGGUUAGGGGUCGAACCUGGCUAAAAUUCUUGGUGUUGCUAGCAUACUGCUUUACAUUAUCUGCAUUGCAUUUAUCUUAUUAGCAGGCUAACUGUUUACUCUGAAACUUAACAGCAGGCUGUCAUUGACAGAUUAAUUAUUCGGUAACUUAUAAAAAUCGGGUAUAUUAGCCAUAACACCUAUUC